rnacentral:misc_RNA from 1 species
CUGCCCUCAAGCCCGGCUUGUGUGUUGGGCCGUCGUCCCCCGACUCCCGGGGGACGGGCCCGAAAGGCAGCGGCGGCACCGCGUCCGGUCCUCGAGCGUAUGGGGCUUCGUCACUCCGCUCUUGUAGGAACGGCCGACAGCCUGUCGACUUUCUCCAACCUUUUUUUUUCCA